rnacentral:rRNA from 1 species
UGGCGGACGGGUGAGUAAUGUCUGGGAAACUGCCUGAUGGAGGGGGGUAACUACUGGAAACGGUAGCUAAUACCGCAUAACGUCGCAAGACCAAAGAGGGGGACCUUCGGGCCUCUUGCCAUCGGAUGUGCCCAGAUGGGAUUAGCUAGUAGGUGGGGGAACGGCUCACCUAGGCGACGAUCCCUAGCUGGUCUGAGAGGAUGACCAGCCACACUGGAACUGAGACACGGUCCAG